rnacentral:rRNA from 1 species
UACAGAGACUGCGAGCGUUAUUCGGAUUCACUGGGCGUAAAGGGUGCGCAGGUGGCCAAGUGUGUUAGGCGUGAAAGCCCGGGGCUUAACCCCGGAAUUGCACCUAAAACAUACCUGGCUAGAGCAUUGGAGAGGGGAGCAGAAUUCAUGGUGUAGCAGUGAAAUGCGUAGAUAUCAUGAGGAAUACCAGAGGCGAAGGCGGCUCCCUGGACAAUUGCUGACACUCAGGCACGAAAGCGUGGGGAGCAAAAGGG